rnacentral:tRNA from 1 species
GCCCCUGUAGCUCAGAGGACAGAGCAGCGGUUUCCUAAACCGCGUGUCGGCCGUUCGAGUCGGCCCAGGGGUACCU